UUUGUCACGGAUCAUCAUUGAUAUUUUGUGUGGUUUUUUAUCACUAAAAUGCAUCUUUUUGUAACUGUUUGGCUACUAGAAACUGCUUAAACAAAUGAAAAAAAAAAAUAGUUUUUUUCACACAUCUUUGACCAAGUUUUACGUACUCGUACGUUUAGUUGAUCAUAUAAAAUAUUUUGCCUUACCCGCGAAUGCCUUCGUCUCGAUAGAAACGUCAUCCAUUAUUAAAAUAUGUUUUUUUGCUUUUAAAGUUUUGGCCGAUUUAGUAAACAUUCAAUCUGUUCUUGCUACUGGCUGGAGAAGUUUUGUCAAAAUUUUAAUCUUGCAAUUUUAGUAUUGUAUCUCGUACAAGCUUCUGGCCUGCGCCAGCCAAUAGGAUCCAGCAAAGGCAUGGUUCCCUUUGACUGUGUAGUGUGACCUACAUCCUUCGUGUUGGAACAAGCUACUACAUGGAGGUGAAGCAUCAAUUUAGGACUUGACUUGUCAACUGUUGGUUGAGAUGGCAAAAGAGGAUGGAUUGCCAAUAUAGGACCAAAAUUUCAUUUUCUCACUUGUCUAUGGAAUCCUAGAUGCUCACAGUUCUGGGUUGCUCAGUAGUAGCGGAACAUUCUUAUCUGAUCAGGCCACAAAUAACACAUGACAAAUCUAUCCACAUCAAACAUGGAGCUGAUUACCAUAUUGUUCAUAGAAUAUGUAUGCCUGAAGAUAGAUUGGAUUAGAGGCAUGUUGGAGUGAUAUUCCAGAAAGCAGCAUCCCAAGGGCUAGAAUCUGAAGUUAAAAGGCCGGUCAACACAAUAUGUAUUUUUUAACUUUGUUUUCUUUCAUUGGUGGUGAAAUUGAAUUAAAUUAAAAUUGAAAGUUA
rnacentral:lncRNA from 1 species